rnacentral:lncRNA from 1 species
CACAAGUACGUAAAUUCCACAAGACAAUGCACUAGAAGUCUGUGAUACCAGACUCAGAUUCUGAAAGCAAAAUUUAACUAAACAUAAAUAAAUUUAAGCUAGAUCAUACCUUGAUCCUCGCUAUAGGAAAGUAGAUAUUUUAGCAACAUUGAGACUCACUACACAGAUCAAACUCAGAAGUUAUGACCCUGAAUUAUCUAUUCAACAUGCAUGCAAGGUUCAAAUCCAUGCCAUAGUAGCGUUGGAAACCUUACUUAGUACAUAUUUAAAAGAAAUCUCGAAUCAACUGUAUUUAAAAAAAUUCAAAUACUGACCUCAAACAAAUAAGUAAUACAAAUGACCAUAUUCUAAGAGGCUAGACUAAGAUGGACACCAACCAAACUACCAUGUUCACAAACAAACUUAAGCAUCCCACAACCAUUUUUUAUGAUCCUCCAAUAUAGCAUCUGAAAAUAACAGCACCAUGUAUUGAUCAAAGGAGGGAGACUUAAGCUGAUUUGAAAACAUAAAAAGACCAAUCUCUAAAAGGUCAAUCACACACUAAAUAUGAUUCCCAAGUUCAACGUACAUGCACUAUUAUAGAUUCAUCUCUAUUCUAAUUCCCUUUUAAAUUCUCAUUCCAACUAACUUCAAACUAGCAAUUGACUUCAGAAUAAAAUAUGUAAGCUAGUCGUUAUUACAUUACACUACUACUUUCAAAAAUGCUAAAAAUAGCUAGCAUUCAUGACUAAGAGAACAACAUUUUACAUCAUUCACACUUGCAUCUCAUCUGUUUAGAAAGGUAGGGAAUACAUGGAAAUUGAAGGGAAAAAAAAAGAACAAGUGAGGGGUCAGCAGAGUAGCAGCAGAAAUUGACCAGAUUCAGCAAUUAGAACACUGAAAUCAGCUCAGAAACCCAAUGGAAUAGUAACCCCUAACAAGCUUGAACCAUAAAACCUUUCAAAAACCCAGUCUCAAUCCGUUUGAAAUCUCAGAAUAAGAAACUUUCGUUUUCAGAAGUUGAAUUUUUUUAGAAAUUACUGAAGAAGCUCAAUGAAACAGUAAAAAACCAGUCGUUUUUUUAUUUUUCUGUAUUUUCUA